ACGCUCGACACCUACGGAGGCAGCAGUGAGGAAUAUUGGUCAAUGGACGCAAGUCUGAACCAGCCAUGCCGCGUGCAGGAUGACGGCUCUAUGAGUUGUAAACUGCUUUUGUACGAGGGUAAACGCAGAUACGUGUAUCUGUCUGAAAGUAUCGUACGAAUAAGGAUCGGCUAACUCCGUGCUAGCAGCCGCGGUAAUCUGAGCGGGCUGGCAAGGC
rnacentral:rRNA from 1 species